rnacentral:rRNA from 1 species
UACGAAGGGGGCAAGCGUUGUUCGGAAUUACUGGGCGUAAAGGGCGCGUAGGCGGCCCGCUAAGUCGAACGUGAAAUCCCCCGAGCUCAACUCGGGAACUGCGUCCGAUACUGGCGGGCUUGAAUCCGGGAGAGGGAUGCGGAAUUCCCAGGUGUAGCGGUGAAAUGCGUAGAUAUCUGGAGGAACACCGGUGGCGAAGGCGGCAUCCUGGACCGGCAUUGACGCUGAGGCGCGAAAGCUAGGGGAGCAAACGGG